UCUCCGUUGGUGAACCAGCGGAGGGAUCAUUAAAGAGUUGAAAAACUCCAACCCCUGUGAACCUACCUUUACUGUUGCUUCGGCGGAAUAUGGCCCCCCGGGCCGGACGCCGCCGGAGGUUACAAACCCUGAAUUUUAGUGUAUCUCUGAGCACAAAACCAAAUAAUUAAAACUUUCAACAACGGAUCUCUUGGUUCUGGCAUCGAUGAAGAACGCAGCGAAAUGCGAUAAGUAAUGUGAAUUGCAGAAUUCAGUGAAUCAUCGAAUCUUUGAACGCACAUUGCGCCCGCCGGUAUUCCGGCGGGCAUGCCUGUCCGAGCGUCAUUUCACCACUCAAGCCCAGCUUGGUGUUGGGGCACCCGGCCGCCCGGCGGUCGGGGCCCCCAAGAACAUCGGCGGUCUCGCCAGGACCCUGAACGCAGUAACUCGCGGUAAAACGCGCUUCGUUCGGAGGCUUUCCCGGCGGGCUCCAGCCGCUAAACCCCCUAAACUUCUUAGGUUGACCUCGGAUCAGGUAGGAAUACCCGCUGAACUUAA
rnacentral:rRNA from 1 species